AGAUCAAAACUUCUUAACCAUGGAAGGGCCGAAAUGAGGCUGACGUAUUGUGGCUGACAUAACCAUGAUGAUGCAAUGUGGCUACGUAAACAACGCACUAACCAAAAAUGCGCGUAAUAAUGAUAUUUAAGAAACUAAAAAAAUAUCAUCAUGAGUAUUAGAAUAACAAAUGGCAAUGGAGGUAUAUUGGUUCAUAUCUAAGAAAUUACAAGGAAGUCACGUGAUACCGCAUUAUUGGAAUGUAAUUGCUAAUGUUAAAAGUUAUUCAAUGUUAAGGUAUUCACUAAUUUAAUACGAUACUCCAAAGAGUUAUAAUUGUGUCUCUCAGAAAUCUCUGUAGUGUAUAUAAUAUUUUCUCUUCCAUAAUUUAUAAACACUAGGUGAUACUUUAUAUGAGUAAAGACUUACGAAUUCUAAAACAUUCCUAAAAUUAUAGUUUUAUUUAACUUCAAUUUUGGUUCUUGUAUUUUUAAAUUCUUAAAUUUAAACUUAUAUUUUGAUUUACUUGCCUAAUUAGUCCAAUUGAUAACGGAAGUUAAGUUAUUUGAUCGAUUUUCAACACAUGAUGGACAUGUGAUAACAUUUGAUGGUAGUUUAUAGUUGAGUUUAUCAAAUUACAAUGGGAUUUGAGCGAUUUACAGUGAGAAUGAAAAAAAAAGUUGAUUUUAUCCAUCAAAUGAUGAUACAUGAUUGGCAAGAGUGAAAAUACAUCUAAAAACAUAACAUUCAUUAUCAAUUAAACUAAUUAGGCAUAAAAAGAGUGAGACGGCUUCACAUUUUUUUUCAUAUCAAACUGAGAUGUUCCUUUUAUAAUAGUACUAGCAGUAGGUAUUCACGGAACGGAUGUGCAAGAUAUAAUAUUUUAGUAUAAUUAAUUCUUAAAAUGAAAUUGUUUAUAUUUUUCUUUUUCUUUUUCUAUUUAUCUAGCAGUCAUUGUAUUCAUAAAAUCGGUUACCAGCAAUUGUGUUGUGUAGUGAUAAUUUUGGCAUAAAAGAACUGUGAGCUGAUUUCAAGAUUCUCUCUACACACAAUUGUGUUGUUCUCUUUCCAUUUGCCGUAGAAUUAAAACUGUAUCACCUUGUGAAUUGCAUUGAUACAUUUGGUCUUUCAGGAAAUGAAUUUAUCGUCUUUUUCAAUUGCAAUCAUUGUUGCUCCCACAACAGUAAUCAAAGUUCCUAAUUUCGCAUAGAAUGGAGAGGAGUUUGUUGGCAGUAAGAACUCUUUCCAUUGAUUAUGCAAUUUUAAAGUUUUGGAUCUCCAAGAGGCAAAACAAAACGAAAUCAUGUUCAGAAAGAUAUGAAACUCCUAAAAGGAGCACAAUACCACUAUAAAGUUAAUAAUUUAUUAUAGACAACACAUUUUAAACACCAUAUAUUAUUUAUCUUUUAGCAAAACUAAUUUUUAAAAUACUAUUUUAUUUUUGUUAGAAAUGAGUUUUUCCAUGAGAAAUUCAUAGAGAGCAUGUUCUAAACCGUCCAUCAAAUAAAAUUUUAAAAAUUAUUUCGCAAAAUUAAUUUUAAAAAUAUUAAAAAAAAAUAAAUUUAUUCUUGAUUUUAUUGUGCUUCACCAUAUGAUGAGGAACUAAAUAAUUACCAUAGCAGUCACCUGAUUUAUGGGUGGGUGCAUGGUAGUAGGUGGCGGGAGUGGUUAGUGGUGGUGGUGGGCUUUGGCAGUGGUGGUAGUGGUGGUAGUUGGCGAUGGUGGCAGUCGCGAAGGGUAGGGUUGGUGGCAAUAGUUAUAAGUGGUGAUUGCUAGGUAGGUGCGUGGUGGUGGGGUGCCAGCGGUGGUAGAUGAUGGUUGUGGUAAGAGGUAGGGGUUGGUGGGGGUGGUUGGCAGCGAUAGCGGUUGGUUAUAAGCGUGUGGUGGUAGUGGUGCUAGUCUAGUUUCUAUUUAAUGGGUGAUGGACGUUUGCUCUUGUUGAUUUGAAAUGGAGCUUGAUCCAAUGUCCUUUUCUUUUUUCUUUUUUUUUUAGGUUUUUCAUAAUCGCUCCAUGCUAACACAUUUAUAUCUCCAUUUGUUUCAUUUAAAAAAACGUUAAAGCCUAAACUUCAAUUACUCAAAAUGGAUAAAAAUAUCCAUGUUACUUUGUACACCCCAAAUGGAAUUUUAUAAAUCCAUUUUUCAUUUAUUUGUUUCAUUGUUUGAUGAUAAAAGAUGUGCUUUUUAUGCGCUCAAUCCAACAUGAGUGGUGGUGGCCUUUGGCAGUGGUGGUAGUGGCUGGGGUGGUGGUGGUAGUUGGAUGGUGGUGAUUGGCUAUCGCAGCAUUUGCAGGGGAUGGGAUUGGUGGCGAUAGUGAUAAGUGGUGGCUGGUAGGUAGGUGCGUGGUGAUAGUGUGCCAGUGGUAGUAGAUGAUGGUUGUGGUUGGUGGGGGUGGUUGUCAGCGAUAGUGGUAGUCUAGUUUCUAUUUAAUGAGCUAUGGGGCCCAUGGCCCAUGCACGUUCGCUCUUGAUGUUUUCAAAUGGACCCUGAUCCAAUCACCAUAAGUCCCAUAGCGGCAUAGCCCAUGCAGUUCCCUAUUGUUGUUUUCAAAGGGAGGCUGAUCCAAUAUCUUUUUUAUUUUUGUUUAGGAGGCUUUUGGCCAUCGCUCCGUGAGAACACAAUUCUAUCUCCAUUAGUUCAUUUAAAAAAAACGUUAAAAUCAAAACUUCAUUUAGUUAAAAUUAACAAAAAUAUCCAUAUUACUUUGUACGCCCUGUAAAAAAAUUUCUAGAUCCAAUUUCCAUUCAUUUGUUUCAUUGUUUGAUGAUAAAACAUGUGCUUUAUAUGCUCUCAAUCCAUGUCUUUUUGUGUAGAUAUGCCUAGAAGAAAAAUGAUUGAGGCCCGUUAAUUAUAAUGAAUUCCCCCUCCUACUCUUUCGACCCCAUCCCAAGCAUGAAUCCGUCGAUACAGUUCUAUUGUGUUUAGUGUAUACAUACCUAGGGUAGUACACUUGGUCUUUUUAACCUUAACCUAUUUUUGUCUCUAUAUACUCUCUUUCUCUCCUUUGUAACUUACAUCUCUCAAACAUAAUAUACAUUUCUUCUCUCUUCUCUCUCUAUACUAGCACCAACAUACAUAUAUGUUCCCAUUAUAUCUAAUGGUAUCAGAGCCAUGAUUCUCAAACUUCCUUCCUUUUUUUUUCAACUUUUUUCCUCCCUCUGAUUCUUUGUGGUUUUUCCGUAUCGGUACUAUUUCUGUUGAACGAAAAUUGCUCGAAUCUAAUAUUUGAACACACCAUUGUUGUUCCUCAGGCAUUUUAACGUUCAACACCGAACUCGAAAACAUCGCCGAAACCUCUCAACACGCGCUCUGACUCGCCACCACAACAUCCGCGCGUUAGACUACGCCCAGCAGCCACCACGCGCCAUUACGCGCUGUCUCGCGCACCACCACGCCCUCCACUCGCCUUCCCACACGCUGUCCCUGUGUCUUCACGCGCUUUUCAACGCGCCUCCAACGCUGUCCCGCGUCUCACGCGCCUUCAAACACACUGUCCCGCGCCUACACGCGCCGCUACCGUCCCCCGCGCCGCCCACGCGCCUACUGUCUGCGGUGACUAUCCAUUAGCGCGCACGUGCGCGCCCUAAGCCGGCAUGAUGUCAGCCCUAAUCUGCUUACAUCAGCCCUAAUUCUGCUGACAUCAACCCUAAAUCUGCUGACGUCAGCCUAAUCCGCGUGAUGUCAGCCCUCGCACAGUGACAUCAGCGCACUGGUAAAUUACAACAGUCCUUGGCCCCUGGCAGACAACCCUCUGAUUUGUUCAUUAGCUCAGCAGUUUCUGAUUUCGACAGUUUUGGAGACCCCAAAGUUUUGCAAUUCUUCCUAUGUUGUGCUUCCAGGUUCUGUUCUUUUGAGUAAAUUGGGUCUUCUGAUUCCGUUUCCGCAUCUCGGUUUUUGCUAUUUCUACUCCGUUACUGCUGUAAUUGGCUAUAUUUUUGCUCUAUUUGUUUCUUGUUUUCUCUACGAUUUGAUUUUUGUACUCUUAGGCUGAUUAUUAUGAUAAAUCUGAAAUUUUUAGACCUAUUAUUUUACUACUUUGGACGACCCAAUAUAUACCAUGUCCUCAAGCGAUGUCCAGUUUUCUCAAAGGAAGAAACCUGGCGUACGUUACUGGUGAUAGUAGGCAACCAUCCUAGGUUUCUGCUGAGACGGCUACUGAGUUCAUCGUCCGACUAGAAGAAUUGGAUAUAAAACCAUCAGAUUAUCACGUGAAUCCGAAAUACUUCUAUUCUUCAAUCAGUCUACAGUUUGGGCGAUUUGACACUGCUCAUUCCAUCUCUGGGAUUUUCUUGUCACCAGAUAUACUACUGCUGAUCUGACUUGGUCAAUAUCAGCUCAUGACUUCCCUGUACCCCGACAGAGACAGGAACCUGGACAUCUAUCAGUGCUUUCUUUCUUGCCUCAGAUAUAUUCUAUAUGGGAUCAGUGACACCGUCUUAUCCCAAGUGGUUAUGUGCGGUGAUCUCUACUUUGUUUGCCACUUAAUUCGAGAUCACAACGCUUAUAGUCGUUUCUUAUGGGACUCGCUGAUAUAUAUGAGCCGGUUCUAGCAUCUCUCCUUCAUCUCAUCCCUCUUCCUACAUUGGAGCAGGCUAUCCUGAGGUGUUAUCUGAAAGACUCGUCUUGGCCUGUCCUCGACUUCCCAUGUGGCCACUGCUUUUGCUACUCCUGGUUCAAGAGGACGUUGGCUCCUCUGGGGUCUCGCAGUUUUUCAGGCUCUGGUUCUCAAUCUCUGGUGGUUCAGCGUCGCCGACCUAAUGAUGCACAUUCUGUCAUGCUACUGACCAUCGCUCUGCUCACUUGUCCUAUUCCGGGUUUGCAAAAUUCUGUCGCCGCCAGCGGACCUGGCCAUUAAGGUCCGACUGUCCCAAUAAUCCUAUCCGUCGAGACACUCGCCCUCAUUCUAACUGCUGCCCACUACUGUGUGUCCUCUACUGCUAUUCCUCCCCGCCUCUCCUACACUGUCCGAUGUCAGUGAUCUUCCUGCUCUUGUUCACAGAUUAUGGAUGUCCACCUCCGGUCAUCCUUCUCUACUGCCUUGUCUGCCUCUACAUGUUAUAUCUUCAUUGGCUUUUUUGACCUCUGGUUGUAGUAACUCAUAUGACAUCUGUUUAUCUUGUGUUCUUCCUCUAAAUCAUAUGAUCUUCAUUUCCUGUUGUUCAUUAACUGCUGAUGGUUCCUCUAGACUGUUGAGCAUGUUGGACAUGUCUCCCCUUCCGCUCUAUCUCUUCCAAUCCUAUACGGUCCGUAACCCGUUCACUUAAUCUAUUUCCUGUUGUCAAUUAUGUGAUCUGGACUUCUGUACUUUUUCUCUUUCCCACUGGUUGUGUUGUGCAGGUCCGCGGACUGGUCAGACUCUUUGAUAGGCCGUAUGCAUGGGCGCCUUUUUCAGCUCAUACAUCUUCACCUUCCUAUUUCUACUGCUAUGCUAACUACUGCUAUGCCCGCCACUUCUACACGUUCUUCGUCACGCAUCCUUCGCAACUUGGCAUUCCUCGUUUAGGUCAUGUGUCGUUGGUCGAUACUUUUCUUGUAUCUAAAGGUGUUUUAGGUUCUACAUUAAUGAACACCUUGAUUUGUCAAUCUGUCAACAUGCUAAGCAACCUGCAUAUCUUUUACUAAAAGCCUUCUGUCUCCUCUGCGCCCUUUGCUUAGUUUCAUUCUGAUAUUUGGGGCCCUUCUCCCACUUCUACUAUGGGGGUUCCCAGUAUUUUGUUUAUUUUGUGGAGAUUUCUCACAUAUACUUGGCUUUACCUUUUAAGAUCGAUCCCAAUUACACAAACUUAUUAUGAUUUGCUCAGCAUGAUGCAAAAUCCAAUUUUCUCCCCGUGUUAUUCAACGUCUUUCCCGCUCCAACAUACUCAAGAAGACUGUGAUACCUCCUUCCUUGCCUUUUUACGGACCCAAGGCACUCUUCCCCACCCCGAUCUUUGUCCUGGUACUUUCCAACAGAAUGGGCGGUCAGCACGUAAACAACCGUCAUUUACUUGAUCCUACUUCGGCUCUACUAAUUUCUUCUAGUUGUCCCAGCGCUUUUAAGGGGGAAAGCGCUCUCAAUACAACCGCUGUCUAUACUAUUAAUCGGUUCCCUCACCCCUCUCUUGGUAAUCUUCACUCCGUACGAGCUCUAUAUGGUACUCCUCCCCGAUUUAUCAUUUCCUCGUGUCUUUUGGUUGUACCUGUUUGUUCUAUUACAACCACAUGAUCGAACUAAAACUAAGCCUAGGUCUCGUCUGUGGUUGCGUCUGGGGUAUGGAAUUGAUGCAUAAGAAGGCUAUCGUUGUUUUGGGUAUCCUUGUCUCGUUGUCUUUCGAGUAUCUCGUCACGUUUUUCUUUUUUGGGAACAUAAGAUAUCGUCUCUCUGUCCUCUUUUUCAGAUGACAUCUUCUUCCAACUCCUUCCUACCUUACUGAUCCGUCCAUUGAUCUUUUCCCUAAAGAGGUUACUGUUGCCUUGCGACCCGCCUGAUGAAUACUUUCCAUGUGGCCCACCCAGCCCUUGUCUAUCCCCGUGAUUCUUCGUCCACUGAUCCUGCACCUCCAGCUCUGCCUCCUUUUCCUCUACCUAGUGUACAUUCCCUUCCGUCGUUCCACUCGGGUAAGGAAGUUCCUUCUUUAUCUUCGCGACUAUCAUUUUUUUCUACUGUCUUAUCCCCAAUAUGAGCCUCGCUCCUAUCGUUGAGUCAAUUACUAUCCCUUGGCAGCAAGCAUGACUGAGGAACUACGGCCUCUUGUAGGACUCACACUUGGGAACCCCGUUGUUUGAUCUUCCUCCUGACAAAUCUAUUAUUUUUGUGUCGCUGGUUUAUAAGAUCAAGACUCGAGAUGAUGUACGGUGGAAGGCGAUACAACUCGUCUGUGUUGCGUAAGGGUUUUUUAACUCAGAGUAUGGUAAUGGACUAUGAGGAGACUUUUGCUCAUGUUGGGCCAGACUUACCUCUGUUCGGAGUCUUGCUUGCUGUUGCUGCUACUCUGGUUGGUCCUUAUGGUCAUAGAUGGAAAUUUAAGAAAUGGUUUUUCUCAAUGGUGAUUGACUGAGGAAAGUUUAUAUGCAGGCUUCCUCCUGGUUCUUCAUCCUAUCCUCCUCUAAUCAGGUAAAUGUCGGCUUCGUCGUGCCGCUUUAUGGUCUUAACAACCUCCGCGUGCUUGGUAUGCCAAGUUUUAGCUCUACCAUCUGUGAUCUUGUGCUUCUCUGCUAGUGCCUUGACUCGGCUCUCUUCUCGGCAGUCUACUCAUAUCAAUUUUUCUCCUUCUUCUCUAAUGGGAUGAUAUGAUUAUUACUAGAGAUGAUGUCAUUGGUAUCUCUGAGUCCAGACUUUCUUCAAUCGUCCCUCUCUGAGAUGAAGAUCUUGGUCCCUUGAGCUCUUUUCUUGUCUUUUCUUGGUCUUGAGGUUUCCUCUGGCUCUCGCUGGAUACUCUCUUACUCAGACCAAGUACUGCCUCCGGAUCUUCUUACCUUGCUGGCCUUUCAGAUUGAAAAGACAGUCUCUACCCCCUCCUGGAUGCCAUGAUUGUCUUAACUCUCUUGAUGGAGACCUGCUAUCUGAUGCACCCCCUAUAUAAUACAGCUCGUCGCAGCCUGAUUACCACCCUGACUGUCCUCGUCCUGACUUGCUCUGCUAUUCAUCUUGUCAUCAGUUUCAUGCUGCACUCCACUCAUUAGGCUGUCCGUACUUCGCUAUCCUUCGGUAUGUUUCAAGGGCAACCCUUUUCAUUCAUGGUCUACAUUUCUCCCGUCAGUCCUACCUUUCAGCUCUAUGCCUAUUCUGAAUGCGAUUGGGCUGGGGAUCCUACCGGAUCGCGUCUACACUGGCUUCUGCUUCCUUCUUAGGCGACUCGCCGCAUCUCUUGGCUUAGUAUAAGGCAGACUCUUGUUGCUCGUAGUCUAGCAUGAGACUGAGUAUCGGUGCUCUUGCUGACACCACAACAGGACUCCUCUGGCUUCGAUGGCUUCUUUAAGACAUGGUGCGUCAUCAUUCUGGGCUACUGUACUUCACUUUGCAAUCGCAGGGCCAUAAAUUGAUUGCCAACAAUGAGGUUUUUCAUGAUCGUACUAACAUAUUGAGAUUGACUGCCAACUUUAUUCGACAGCAUGUGGUUCGCUGGUACUUUCACACCUUCUGCCUCGUUUCUUCUGCCGACCAGACAGCUGAUAUCUUCACUAAAUCUCUCUUACCUGUUCUCUUUUGAGCUCUUGUCACCAAACUCAAGUUGGUCUCUUCCUGCAAAACCUUCUUGAAUUGAGGGGGGUGUUAGUGUAUACUAACCUAGGGUAGAUUGGUCUUUUUAACCUUAACCUAGUUUUGUCUAUAUAUACUCUCUUUCUCUUCCUUUGUAACUUAACAUCUCUCAACAUAUAUCAACAUUUCUUUCUUCUCUUUCUCUCUCUAGACUAUCACCAACAUACAUAUAGUUACCAUUAUUCUAACAUAUUGACAGGAAAAAUUCACUGAGUUUUCUUGCUAGUCUCUUCUUAGACCCACCCAUGUUCAACCCGUGGCCUUUCUCAUUCCGAUUUCUUUACAUAAUGUUAUUCUUAUAUUUAAUUAUCAGCUCAUUUGAAAAAUUAAUAGGCUCUAAUUUACAUUAAAAAAAUAUUUUCAUAUUUCCUAAUCAGAAUGAUUGUGAUUUGUCGGCAAAAAAAGGCAACUUACUUUUUUGAUUAAUAUCUACUUUUAUAAAGGAGAGUGAUUUUCACGAUUCUCAGUUCUUCAAUUGUGCUCCAUAUUUUUUGUAUUUGUUAGAGAGAAUUUACUCAAAUAUUCUUAUAGUGAAAAUGUUAAGUAAAAGAGGUAUUUGGGUAAAUUCACUCUAUUAAAUACAAACAAAGAAGUACAAUUAAAAAAAAAUAGAUCACAAAAAUUAUUAGCCUUUAUAAGUAUCUUCUCUUUCUAGUAAUUAAUUUUCAUGAACAAAAAAUAAAAUAUUUGAGUGAUGCUUUUUGAUCGAAAAUCAUGUGAUCAUCUUUCGUGGCCAUUUUUUAUAAAAAUAAAUUAACUCAUAAUUUUAAAAAUGAAUAAAAGUUUAGAAAAUAAUUAUAUUUACAUAUAAAAAUGUGUACUAACCACAUAUCGUAGUGAGACUCACGUAACGUAAUUGGGCGUGUAAGAGAAUCUCUAAUUCUUCAUAAAUCUAAAUUAAAUGAGAAAAAGAGAUAAAAAUAAAUUUCAAUUUUUUCAUUAAACUUGAAUAAAUUAGAAAAGAACCAAAUGCUUCAUUUAACCAAGGAUGACAAUGGAAGAAAUUGCAUGAAAGUCAAGUGAUACCGCAUUAUUCGAAUGUAAUUGCCAAUGUUAAAAGUUCAUUCACUUUAAGGUUUCACUAUUUCAAUGUAAUGCUACGAAUGCUAUAAGGGAGUCUCUCACAAAUCUCUCUAUUAAUGGCGAUUUAUAAUUGAAUUUAUCACUGCAAUGGGAUUUGAGCGAUUUACAGUGAGAAUGAAAAAAUUUUUUUGAUUUUAUCCAUCAAAUGAUAGUACAUGUAUGGAAAGAGUGAAAACAUAUCUAAAAACAUAACAUUCAUUAUCAAUUAGACUAAUUAGGCAGAAAAAUAAAAAUAUAGAAUUAAAAUUACGGAAAUAAAAAAAUCAGGGACCAAAAUCACGAAUGGAUAAAACUACAAGGACUACUCUUGCAAUUUGACCAUAUUUUUAAAUUCAAUUUGACGAAAUAGUUUUUUAAAAUUUAUGAUUGAAAACAUGGUCUCUAUGAAUUUCUCUAGAAAAGCACAUUUAUUAGCAAAAAUUAUACUGAUGGUAUUUGAAAUUCUCAAAAAUUAUUUCUACUUAAAAAGAUAAAUAAUACUGAUGGUAUUUGAAAGUUGAAACGUGUUCUCUAUCAUCUCUGCAAUCAUAUAUGCGGUGAUCUGCCACCGUGUUUUAUUUCUGUCUUAGCAAUAAUGCACAAAACGACAAAGUCUCAAUAAUACUUUUACAAUGAACAAAAAUACAAGUACAAGUAAGAUGGUAAAGGCCAAAUAAUUUAAGGUAAAUUACACUCAACCCCCCCUCUAAUACAUUUACU
rnacentral:lncRNA from 1 species